rnacentral:rRNA from 1 species
UACGAAGGGGGCUAGCGUUGCUCGGAAUGACUGGGCGUAAAGGGCGCGUAGGCGGUUUGUACAGUCAGAUGUGAAAUUCCUGGGCUCAACCUGGGGGCUGCAUUUGAUACGUGCGGACUUGAGUGAGGAAGAGGGUUGUGGAAUUCCCAGUGUAGAGGUGAAAUUCGUAGAUAUUGGGAAGAACACCGGUGGCGAAGGCGGCGACCUGGUCCUUGACUGACGCUGAGGCGCGAAAGCUAGGGGAGCAAACGGG